CCUACGGGAGGCAGCAGUGGGGAAUAUUUGACAAUGGGCGCAAGCCUGAUCCAGCAAUGCCGCGUGAGUGAUGAAGGCCUUCGGGUUGUAAAGCUCUUUCGCACGCGACGAUGAUGACGGUAGCGUGAGAAGAAGCCCCGGCUAACUUCGUGCCAGCAGCCGCGGUAAUACGAAGGGGGCUAGCGUUGUUCGGAAUUACUGGGCGUAAAGGGCGCGUAGGCGGUGUGUCAAGUCAGGCGUGAAAGCCCCGGGCUCAACCUGGGAACCGCGCUUGAGACUGGCACGCUCGAGUUCGGGAGAGGAUGGUGGAAUUCCCAGUGUAGAGGUGAAAUUCGUAGAUAUUGGGAAGAACACCGAUGGCGAAGGCAGCCAUCUGGACCGACACUGACGCUGAGGCGCGAAAGCGUGGGGAGCAAACAGGAUUAGAUACCCUGGUAGUCCACGCCGUAAACGAUGAGUGCUAGACGUCGGGGCCCUCAGGGCUUCGGUGUCGCAGCUAACGCAUUAAGCACUCCGCCUGGGGAGUACGGCCGCAAGGUUAAAACUC
rnacentral:rRNA from 1 species